rnacentral:rRNA from 1 species
UACGAAGGGGGCUAGCGUUGCUCGGAAUCACUUGGCGUAAAGCGCGCGUAGGCGGGUUGUUAAGUCAGGGGUGAAAUCCUGGAGCUCAACUCCAGAACUGCCUUUGAUACUGGCGAUCUUGAGUUCGGGAGAGGUGAGUGGAACUGCGAGUGUAGAGGUGAAAUUCGUAGAUAUCAGGAGGAACACCGGUGGCGAAGGCGGCGACCUGGCCCGAUACUGACGCUGAUGCACGAAAGCGUGGGGAGCAAACAGG